GACGAACGCUGGCGGCGUGCUUAACACAUGCAAGUCGAACGGAAAGGCCCUGCUUGCAGGGUACUCGAGUGGCGAACGGGUGAGUAACACGUGGGUGAUCUGCCCUGCACUUCGGGAUAAGCCUGGGAAACUGGGUCUAAUACCGGAUAGGAGCCAUUUUUAGUGUGAUGGUUGGAAAGUUUUUUCGGUGUAGGAUGAGCUCGCGGCCUAUCAGCUUGUUGGUGGGGUAAUGGCCUACCAAGGCGGCGACGGGUAGCCGGCCUGAGAGGGUGGACGGCCACAUUGGGACUGAGAGACGGCCCAGACUCCGACGGGAGGAAGCAGUGGGGAAGAUUGAACAAUGGGCGCAAGCCUGAUGCAGCGACGCCGCGUGGGGGAUGACGGCCUUCGGGUUGUAAACUCCUUUCGCUAGGGACGAAGCUUUUUGUGACGGUACCUAGAUAAGAAGCACCGGCUAACUACGUG
rnacentral:rRNA from 1 species